rnacentral:rRNA from 1 species
GUCUACAGCCAUACCACCCUGAAUGUGUCUGACCUUGUCUGAUCUCAGAAGUGAAGCAGGGUCGGGCCUGGUUAGUGCUUGGAUGGCAGGGGAGCGAUGCUGUUCU